rnacentral:lncRNA from 1 species
AUGAAGAGUCCUUACAAUGUUGGGAAAGCAAAGAAAAGGGGUUAUCUCUUGCAGACCCUUCCCCCAUGCUUGGGAGAGACAUUGGGACCAAAUCACCAUUUGCACAAAAGACUAGAAAUUUGUAAUUGUGGAUAACAAUUUGCAAACAGAACUGGGCCUUCUCACCCCUACCCCCUGCUCUGAGAAGGGCAGUAUGAGUAUUUUAACUGGCCGUACAGUGUCUUCCUGUGCAGACCAAAGAAGGCCUCAGGGAGGUGAUGUGUGUCUGCUGCCAACACAGCUUUAUCCGUUUUCAUGGCCGAGUCUUACUCUACCGUGUAGAGCAUGUCUGUUCAUCUUCU